rnacentral:lncRNA from 1 species
GGACACUCAACAUAGGAAAGUAUUUGGAGACAGUCACAGUUACACACUCAACAUCUGCUGGCACCUACCCAAGCCCAGAGCUCCCAGAGCCCCGCGGGCCCCCGAGGCACUCCCAGUCAAGCAUGGGAGACAGGCCAGCACACAGGUGAUCCGUGGUCGUGAUAAAUGGUCACAAGGGGCCGUGGGCACCCAGAAAAUGAGCUCCUACUCGGCCUUGGAGAGCCUGAGAGUGAGGCCUUUGAAUGAUGCCCUGGACAGAGCUUGGAACAUGAAGGUGAAUACUGUUGUGGGGAGAAUGCAUCCCUUUGCCUGGCUCUGAGCCAGGGCCAGCUUUGGAUCCUGCUAGCCCCAUGGAUAUAGAGGUGACAGUACGAAGACUCACAGUAGUGGGGAAGUCCUGUCCUCAAGUCCAUGCAGCUCAGGAGUGGGAGAACUUGGAUCUGAGUGAGCCCUGAUUGUCGCCUUGAGGACCACUGUAUUUUCAGAGCCUUGCCUUGCUUCUCAGAGGUGAGAGCCACCUCCAUUUCAACACGGCCAUUGCUGGAGCUGAGGCAGCCUCCUAGCGCCCCAAGCAGGACAGAUGCUCUUUGGCUCCUUUGGGUUGGUUCUCAGAACGUCGCUCCAUGUAAGGAAUGGAAUGGGAUUACCUGCUCGUCUCCUGUCAAGCUUGGGGUAGCACUGCCUCUCUCAGGAUGGCUUCCUUCUUGAGAGGUUGAAGAACCCUUCCCAAGACUGGGCCAUCUUGCUCUGAGCACAGAGAAAUCACACAGGCUAAAAGUUAGAUACCUGGGAGUGGCAGAAAGAGCACAGACUUCAAAACCAGAAAGAUUCACCUUCGAGUCUUGGCUCUGCCACUUACCAGCAGUCUGACCUUGAAUGAACCUCAGCUUCCCCAUUGUAAAUGGGGGCUCAAGAAUACCUCCC